rnacentral:rRNA from 1 species
AGAGUUUGAUCAUGGCUCAGAAUCAACGCUGGCGGCGUGCCUAACACAUGCAAGUCGAGCGAGAAAGUGGUAGCAAUACCAUGAGUAAAGCGGCGCACGGGUGAGUAACACGUGACUAACCUACCCUGGAGUGGGGAAUAACUGAGGGAAACCUUAGCUAAUACCGCAUAAUACCCACGGGUCAAAGGAGCAAUCCGCUCUGGGAGGGGGUCGCGGCCGAUUAGUUAGUUGGCGGGGUAACGGCCCACCAAGACGAUGAUCGGUAUCCGGCCUGAGAGGGCGCACGGACACACUGGAACUGAAACACGGUCCAGACUCCUACGGGAGGCAGCAGUGGGGAAUUUUGCGCAAUGGGGGAAACCCUGACGCAGCAACGCCGCGUGGAGGAUGAAGUCCUUCGGGACGUAAACUCCUUUCGAUCGGGACGAUUAUGACGGUACCGGAAGAAGAAGCCCCGGCUAACUUCGUGCCAGCAGCCGCGGUAAUACGAGGGGGGCGAGCGUUGUUCGGAAUUAUUGGGCGUAAAGGGUGCGUAGGCGGUUUGGUAAGUCUUAUGUGAAAUCUAUGGGCUUAACUCAUAGACUGCAUGAGAAACUGCCGGGCUGGAGUGUGGGAGAGGUGAGUGGAAUUUCCGGUGUAGCGGUGAAAUGCGUAGAUAUCGGAAGGAACACCUGUGGCGAAAGCGGCUCACUGGACCAUAACUGACGCUGAUGCACGAAAGCUAGGGGAGCAAACAGGAUUAGAUACCCUUGUAGUCC